CCCCAAAAGGCCAAAACCCAAAACCGUCACUCCUCACUCCAAAAUAGAGUAGGGAGUACCAACCUUUCUUUCUCAAUUCUUCUCAUUACUUUGAAAAAGUAGCAGACAUCAAAUCUUUGGUCAAUUGGGAAGUCUGGAUGAAAUCAAAGCGCUAGGAGAGGAGUAUGCGACAUGCAAUUAUCUUUAGACCGGGGAACUAUUUCCUUGGAGUUAAUGCUUGUCUUGAUGUGAUGUGGAGGGUGUUUACUUUGUACAUUAAUUAGUUCUUUGGCAAUGCCCUU